AUCAUGGCUCAGAACGAACGCUGGCGGCAGGCCUAACACAUGCAAGUCGGACGAGAAGGUACCUUCGGGUACUGGAGAGUGGCGCACGGGUGAGUAACGCGUGGGGACCUACCUCUUAGUGGGGGAUAACGGUUGGAAACGACCGCUAAUACCGCAUACGCCCUUCGGGGGAAAGAUUUAUCGCUAAGAGAUGGACCCGCGUUGGAUUAGAUAGUUGGUGAGGUAACGGCUCACCAAGUCGGCGAUCCAUAGCUGGUUUGAGAGGAUGAUCAGCCACACUGGGACUGAGACACGGCCCAGACUCCUACGGGAGGCAGCAGUGGGGAAUAUUGGACAAUGGGGGCAACCCUGAUCCAGCCAUGCCGCGUGAGUGAAGAAGGCCUUCGGGUUGUAAAGCUCUUUCAGAUGCGAAGAUGAUGACGGUAACAUCAGAAGAAGCCCCGGCUAAUUUCGUGCCAGCAGCCGCGGUAAUACGAAAGGGGCUAGCGUUGUUCGGAUUUACUGGGCGUAAAGGGCACGCAGGCGGUCUUGCCAGUCAGGGGUGAAAGCCCGGGGCUCAACCCCGGAACUGCCUCUGAUACUGCAAGACUAGAGACUAGGAGAGGGUGGUGGAAUUCCCAGUGUAGAGGUGAAAUUCGUAGAUAUUGGGAGGAACACCAGAGGCGAAGGCGGCCACCUGGACUAGAUCUGACGCUCAGGUGCGAAAGCGUGGGGAGCAAACAGGAUUAGAUACCCCUGGUAGUCCACGCCGUAAACGAUGAGUGCUAGUUGUCGGGAUUUCGAUUUCGUGACGCAGCUAACGCAUAAGCACUCCGCCUGGG
rnacentral:rRNA from 1 species